rnacentral:lncRNA from 1 species
AAAAGCGCCUCUCGCUGAAGUUACCCCGAGGUACCCCGGGAUGAGAGCGAAGGUAUUGCCGUUUUGUCGAACCGCGGAGGCCGCUGAAGACGUUCCCAACUUAUUCACCCUCCCGAGGGUCUUGCUGCGUCGCCGAGAAGGACCGAUGGGGAAGGGGGACGGGAGAGAGGAAGCGUGCAUAGGGCUUCGAGGGAACUGGUCCCCCCCGCGCGCUCCCCGAGACUCGGGGACGGCCUGGAAACUUUGGGGGUCCUUUCCUCCAUGCACCCUCCCCCGCGCCACCCCCCCCCCCCGUCCCCCGCGCCAGCUUCCCUACUGGAUUGAAUGCAGGUUCUGGGAAGAUGGGGCUAAGCUUUUUAAGAAACCCGCGAAGUGUCCGGAGAGGAAAGUUUGCAAAAAAGUUCUUUUGUUUGAUGUUCCCAGUGGCUGGGGUGAGGGAGCAGACACUACGGGGUAACGCGACCCGCGGAGGCGCGCAGUCCUGGGUCCUGCUGGGGGCGCGGGGGGAGUGCGUGGAAAAUGCACCCGAAAAUGCCGGGGUGCGGACCCUGGACUCCCAUUUCUGCCGACCCGUUCUGCUUGAGGGUCCAGGGGGCUCGCGGGCCAUCAGGGGCCGGAGGGCAUCUCUGUAUGGAUCGCGUUCGAGCGCGGCAGCUGGGCGAGACGGGGGUGCGGAUGGCACUGCACUCGGCCUCGGGCCGCCUGGCCGCUCGCAGCCUGAAGCUUCCAGCCUGACGCGCUCGCUCUCGCGGACCCCGGCCGGGGUGCCCCCAGGCCCGGGGGAGUCUCUUCUCUGGCUCCGGCUGCGGGCAACCCAGCCUCCCUCCCCGGCCUUGGUGGUGGGAACUGGGUUUCCCCUCCUCUGGCUCGAGGGUUGGAGCUGGUUUCCCUACGACGCCCAGUGAGCGCCCUCUACAGGGAAAUGCCUCCUGGGCUUGCCCUUGUGCCUGGCGGCCCCUACCUGGUCGCCCCGAGCUUUGUCCGGCUGGGUGGAACCCCGAAACACCCGCGAGCCCGUCUGCAGCCUCAGCGCGGUCCGGGGCCUCGGCGGGCAGAGCUGACAUCUGAUAAAGACAUGUACCUCGACAACAGCUCCAUUGAAGAAGCUUCAGGAGUAUAUCCUAUUGACGAUGAUGACUAUGCUUCUGCAUCAGGCUCGGGAGCUGAUGAGGAUGGAGAGAGUCCAGAGCUGACCACGUCUCGGCCCAUUCCAAAGAUACCAUUCACUAGUACUGCUCCGAGAGUGGAAACCACAACACUGAGCAAGAUACAGGACAAGAUCCCUGCUCAGACAAAGUCACCUGAAGAAAUUGAUAAGGAAAAAGUUCACCUCCCUGACUCAGAAAGGAAAAUGGACCCAGCUGAAGAGGAUACAAAUGUAUAUACUGAGAAGCACUCAGACAAUCUGUUUAAACGAACAGAAGUCCUGGCAGCUGUCAUUGCUGGCGGAGUUAUCGGCUUUCUCUUUGCAAUUUUCCUUAUCCUGCUGUUGGUGUAUCGCAUGAGAAAGAAGGAUGAAGGAAGUUAUGAUCUUGGAGAACGCAAACCAUCCAGUGCUGCUUAUCAGAAGGCACCUACUAAGGAGUUUUAUGCGUGAAAACUCCCAUUUAGUGUCUCUAUUUAUGAGAUCACUGAACUUUUAAAAAUAAAGCUUUUGCAUAGAAUAAUGAAGAUCUUUGUUUUUUGUUUGUUUGUUUUUUUCAUUAAAGAGCCAUUCUGGCACUUUAAUGAUAAAAAUCCCAUUGUAUUUAAAUCUUUUCAUGUAUUUCUUUAGAACAACAUAAAAUUCAAACUUAACAUCUGCAGUGUUCUGUGAAUAGCAGUGGCAAAAUAUUAUGUUAUAAAAACGCUCAAUGUACAUGGAAUCAG